GAUGAACGCUGGCGGCGUGCCUAAUACAUGCAAGUCGAGCGAACAGACGAGGAGCUUGCUCCUCUGACGUUAGCGGCGGACGGGUGAGUAACACGUGGAUAACCUACCUAUAAGACUGGGAUAACUUCGGGAAACCGGAGCUAAUACCGGAUAAUAUAUUGAACCGCAUGGUUCAAUAGUGAAAGACGGUUUUGCUGUCACUUAUAGAUGGAUCCGCGCCGCAUUAGCUAGUUGGUAAGGUAACGGCUUACCAAGGCAACGAUGCGUAACCGACCUGAGAGGGUGAUCGGCCACACUGGAACUGAGACACGGUCCAGACUCCUACGGGAGGCAGCAGUAGGGAAUCUUCCGCAAUGGGCGAAAGCCUGACGGAGCAACGCCGCGUGAGUGAUGAAGGUCUUCGGAUCGUAAAACUCUGUUAUUAGGGAAGAACAAAUGUGUAAGUAACUAUGCACGUCUUGACGGUACCUAAUCAGAAAGCCACGGCUAACUACGUG
rnacentral:rRNA from 1 species